GGCUGGGCCAGGAGGAGGGGAGGAGGCAAAGCAAGACCUCUGCUAUCCCUUGUGGCAAGGUGCUUCUGCUGGUGUUUCAGAGCCCAUAUGGAUGCCCGGCUCCAUCACUGCCUGUCUGUCUGCUCACUCCCCUUUCCUUGCCUGGAGCUCUGUGUAUGUCCCACAGCUCAGAUAGGGCUCUUCCUCCCUCCUUGCUGACCUCUGGUGAAGGACUUGUUGCUUUGGGAGAUGAUUCCGAGUCACAGUGGGCUGCUCAGUGUCACCCUUUGGAACUCCAGGCAGGGAUGGUGCUGAAGGAAGCAGGAAGACUUCAGUUCCUACCGCAUUGCUCUGGCUCUAGGAGCAAAACCUAAAGGCCAGAAGCUCCUGCACGGUUUGCCAAAGGUUUGCCAAAGGAAAAGGAGGAACAACGUUUGCAUCCAGCCUCUGGACCACUUGGCUCCUGUUGACAGGCCUCAGUUCUGGUGAAUCCUGCUCCGUGGAGGUAGGAAUGACAGAGCUGGUGGUCUCCAAGCAGCAAUGCUCUGUCUGCUCCUUCCCUUCCUGCCCUGAUGGAAAAGGUGCUUGGAGCAGGGACAACCCAGCUACAUUUUGCUGCAGCUGCUCCAGCAGCAGCUCAAUUGGGGAACAUUUUCCUUGCCUAAAUAAAAGCAUCUUGCAAC
rnacentral:lncRNA from 1 species